rnacentral:tRNA from 1 species
GGGGGUGUAGCUCAGUGGCAGAGUGCAUUACUAGCAUGCAUGAGGUCCUGAGUUCAAUCCCCAGUACUUCUG